rnacentral:rRNA from 1 species
UACGUAGGUGGCAAGCGUUAUCCGGAAUUAUUGGGCGUAAAGAGCGCGCAGGUGGUUGAUUAAGUCUGAUGUGAAAGCCACGGCUUAACCGUGGAGGGUCAUUGGAAACUGGUCGACUUGAGUGCAGAAGAGGGAAGUGGAAUUCCAUGUGUAGCUGUGAAAUGCGUAGAGAUAUGGAGGAACACCAGUGGCGAAGGCGGCUUCCUGGUCUGUAACUGACACUGAGGCGCGAAAGCGUGGGGAGCAAACAGGAUUAGA